GGAACGCUAAUACCGCAUACGUCCUACGGGAGAAAGUGGGGGAUCUUCGGACCUCACGCUAUCAGAUGAGCCUAGGUCGGAUUACCUAGUUGGUGAGGUAAAGGCUCACCAAGGCGACGAUCCGUAACUGGUCUGAGAGGAUGAUCAGUCACACUGGAACUGAGACACGGUCCAGACUCCUACGGGAGGCAGCAGUGGGGAAUAUUGGACAAUGGGCUAAAGCCUGAUCCAACCAUGCCACGUGUGUGAAGAAGGUCUUCGGAUUGUAAAGCACUUUAAGUUGGGAGGAAGGGCAGUAAGUUAAUACCUUGCUGUUUUGACGUUACCGACUGAAUAAGUCACCGGCUAACUUCGUGCCAGCAGCUGCGGUAAUACAAAGGGUGCAAGCGUUAAUCGGAAUUACUGGGCGUAAAGCGCGCGUAGUUGAUUCGUUAAGUUGGAUGUGAAAGCCCUGAGCUCAACCUGGGAACUGCAUCCAAAAAUGGCCAGCUAGAAUAUGGCAAAAUGGAGUGGGAAUUUACCUGUGUAGCGUUGAAAUGCUUACAUAUAGGAAGGAACACCUUGGCGAAGGCAACUCCUGGGCAAAACUGACACUGAGGUGCGAAAGCUUGGGGAGCAAACAGGAUUAGAUACC
rnacentral:rRNA from 1 species